AAAAUUUCAUUCGUUCUCUUUGGUGUUGUGGUCUCUGUUAUUUUGGUAUAUGGAUUUUGCCUUAGUUUUGUUUGUAUUGCGCGGGUGAUUCGGUUUUGUUGGUAUUGUUUUGGUGAUUGUUGUGCUUCUUUCUUACCAGUUUCCUUCUUGAUCAAGUUUGUCUAGGGUUUUGGCGAAUUAUAUGAUGUUUGCGAUGGAUUGGUGUGGUUUUCUUGGAUUUUCGGAUUGCUAAUUCAGAAUAACCUAAUUUCUUUUCCAAUUUCCUUUCUAUUAUUUAGCUUCUCUGGUAUUGAUGACCGAUUAUUUUCUUAUGCGUUUAUUCGUGACUGGCUAUUUGAUGUCGGAGACUUAUCAAUUUGGUGUGUUAUUUGUGUUUAUUCCUAUUUGGUGUGUUUAUCCUGAUUUCUCGAUGAGUUUCCUUUCUAUUACGUAAUUUCUCUUGAUUUGAUCACCAAACGUCGGAUUGAAUUUUCAAUUGUUUCUCUACGCAGCGUUGUUUGGAUUAUUUCCGUUUAGUGUUAUCAGCAUCUCAUGGAGCAUGUUAUGAGCGACCGUGUCUCCCUUGGUUUUUUUAAUUCUUAAAUUGAUCUAAUUUUUUAUAAACUGUGUCCUCUAUUACCAGUUAUAGUAUUACCAGUUAUAGUUUUCUUGAAUUCUUGUUCUUUGCAGAGAUGUGAGAGAUGUGUGGGUUAGGAUGUGCAAAACAGUGGCGGGAGAUUCCUUGAACAGUGAAGCAUUAGUUGUUCUUUUUACUCUUACAUUAAUUUUUUCUUUUGCAUUAAUUCUUGAUUGGAUGAACUUUCGGGUUUAUUUUUAUUUUUUUCUUCUUAGGCAUAACCAAAUUUAUAAUGGAAGGCCAAAGAAUCUCCAAUUUUAGGAGAUGAUCAUGACCACUGGAUGGAAUAAUGACAUUUGUUCUUUUAGCAGUUUCUACUAUGGUGAUCUUUAGGGAUAAAUUGAAAAGGGUAACAAGUAUAAGUAAAUUUAUUUUUUUCUUUGAUUACACAUUUGUUGGUUUCUUGACAUUUUGUGAACCCUUUUUUCUUGCAGUGUGAUUGGAGUAGUUUUGGGUCGGUAUUCUAUUUGAACUGGAUUUUGUAUUCUCAAAUUUGCUUUGUGUUUCCACUUCUCGUCGGUCUAGUAUGUUAUUCCCACCGCUUCAUACCAAGCUCUAACUUUAUGCCUGGUGUUCUGUUGAUAUUUCCAUAUCAGGAAUGGUUUGGAUAUGUUUUGAGUACUACGAUCUUCAAUGUGCUGGGGAUUAAACGUGAAAUGGCAACUGCACAAAAUAACAUAAUUUCUUGAAAUGUUUCCUCUACUAUUAUUUAACUUCGCUGGUAUUGAUAACCGAACAUUUGGAUUGAAUUGUGAUUUCUUUCGAUGCAGCAGGUUUGUCUUAAUCGAGCCUUCUGCGAAUACGUCUGCAUUGGUUUUUGUAUUCUUGAAUUUAUUAAUUCAUUUUAUCUUUUCUUAAAUUCUUGGUCUUUACGUGCAAGACAAGCAAUGGAUGUGGAAACUUUAGAAGGAGAUCCUAUGAAGCUUUAGGUUUUAUUACCCUUACAUCUUCUGAUGCGUUUAUAUUUACAUUGACGGAUAUCCAUUUGAAUUUGAAUACAGUUCUUCAUUUGAUUACGUCUAGGUGUUGAACUGUUUAUGUGUAGGUGUUGAACUGUUUAUGUUCAUUCCUUUCUUGCUUGUCGAGAAUCUAAGAUUGGUGGAGGAUUAAAAUCCCGCAGUGUUUACAUCGACCAACGAUUCAGGAUUACCUGAGUUCUUUUGAGUUUUCUUCUAUUUUUGACUUUCGGGAUUUUAUAACCUAAUAUGAUCACUCCUAAUUGUUUUCUUGAAUUGUUCGGCCUUACUGGGAACACAAUCGUGACUGACUUGUGAGCUAGGAUGUGGAAACUUUAGCCAGGGAAUCUGUGAAGCUUUAGGUUUUGCUUUCUUUUCUAUUAUCAUUUAUUGUUUAUGAAUAUCAGACUCUAACAAUAAAAAGUCACCUUAAUUGUCAGAUUUGCUCUUCUUUCUCUUUGAAAUGUCCUCUUGUAUGAGACUUCAUUUGCUGGAUGAGCAUUUAUAAAUUUAAAUGCUUGAUUUUUGCUCAAUCUUAAUCCCUUGCUGAUUUUAAACAGAACUGCUUUCAGAAUAAGAAUUGUUUGAGCGCUAUCAUCUACAUUGAAACGACAACUGCUCAAGAUAACUUUAAUUUCUUCUACUAUUUAACUUCGCUGGACUUGAUCAACGAACAUUAGGAUUGAAUUGUGAUUUGUUUCUCUGCAGAAGUGUUUAUAUUAGAUUCGUGCAGUGUACCUGCAUCUUAUAUAGUCUCUCGGAUCCUGUGGAGCUUUAGGUUUUGUUACCCACACAUUUCCUAAUGUGUUUUAUUUCUGGCAUUUGAUCACCUGACAUAAGGAUUUAACUGCCAUUUGUUUCUUCAGAGGUGUUUCGGUAUCUUUCGUUUCUACAUUUCGUUGGUCUAGCAUCAGUAUAUUUCUCCAGUAGUUCUGCUUGGCCUAGCAUCAAUAUUUCACCAAUAGUUCUGCUUGAUUUGGGUCGCUCUCAUUGAACUGAAGUCCAUCAAAUAUAAAAUGUUAGACAUUGAGUUCAAAUUAAGAUUAGCAUAUCAUGGAGCAUGUUAUGAGCGAUCUUGUCUGCCUUGUUUUUUUAAUUCUUAAAUUUAUAUAAUUUGUUCUAAACUUAGUCCUCUAUUACCAGUUAUAGUUUUCUUGAAUUCUUGUUCUUUGUAGAGAUGUGUGGGAUAGGAUGUGCAAAACAGUGGCAGGAGAUUCCUUUAACAAUGAAACAUUAGUAGUUCUUUUUACUCUUACAUUACUUUUUUUUUCUGUUGCAUUAAUUCUUGAUUGGAUGAACUUCUCGGUUUUAUUUUUAUUUUUUUCUUCUUAGGCAUAACCAAAUUUAUAAUGGAAGACCAAAGAAUAUCCAAUUUUAGCAGAUGAUCAUGACCACUGGAUGACAUUUGUUCUUGUAUCAGUUUGCUCUAUGGUGAUCUUUAGGGUAUCAAUAAAUUGAAAAGGGUAACAAGUAUAGGUAAAUUUAAGAUUGUUUUUAUUACGCAUUUUGUUGGUUUCUUUAAGGUUUUUGUGAACCUUUUUUUCUUGCAGUGUUCGUUCGACUAGUUUUGGGUCUGUACUCUAUUUUAGAAUGGAUUUUGGUGAUCUUUAGGGUAUGAAUACUUGUUAACGGUAACAAGUAUAGGUAAAUAUAAGAUUUUUUUUAUUAUGCAUUUGUUGGUUUCUUCUUGACAAUUUUGUGAACCAUUUUUUCUUGCAGUGUUCGUUCGACUAGUUUUGGGUCGGUAUUCUAUUUUAGAAUGGAUUUUGGUGAUCUUUAGGUAUGAAUAAAUUGAAAAGGGUAACAAAUGUAGGUAAAUUAACGAUUUUUUUUUAUUACGCAUAUUGUUGGUUUCUUGACGAUUUUGUGAACCUUUUUUUCUUGCAGUGUUCGGUCGACUAGUUUUGGGUCAGUAUUCUAUUUUAGACUGGAUUUUGUAUGCUCAAAUUUGCUUUCUGUUUCCACUUUUCCUCGGUCUAGUAUGUUCUUCCCUCCCCUUCAGUGAGUGUGUGGUUGGUUGUUGAUGCAGUAGGUGUCUUCUUACAUGAUUUGGUGAUCUCCACUAUUUAUCCUGAAUCUUGGAUUUUAAUUUGUACUACACACUGACCUCUAUCUUAUUGCUGGUUAUAUUUCUCAAUUUUAAUCCCUUGAUGAUUUGUUCAGUCUCAAAAAAAGCUCUAUAUUAGGUAAAUUUUAUGCCCGGUUCUAUUGUGUGAUCAUUCUGAACUUUUUCUUCUGUGAGUUUUGUUUUUUCCUUAUAUCCGUAUCAGGAAUGGUUCCAAUCUUCUGUGGAGUGGAGUAGUUUGAGCAACAAUAUUAGUUUGCAAUUGGAGGAUUACUCUCGGUACUUUUUAAUAUGAUCUAUACUAGUAUUUCCAAUUUAAUUGGAUAUCUUUUUUCUUAACAGUGCUUUUGGAAUAUAUGUUUGAGUACUACGAUCUACAUGAAGCUGGGUAUUAACAAUCAUUUCUGGAAUAUAUAGCAUAAUUUCUUCUAACUACUAUCAGUUGCCUGCUCAAGAUAAACUAAUUUCCUCUACUAUUAUUUAACUUCGCUGGAGUUGGUAACCGAACAUUUGGAUUGAAUUGUGUUUUCUUUCGCUGCAGCAGUUUUGUAUUAAUUUUGUGUACUGGGUGUGGAAAUUUUAGAAGACAAGUUCCGAGAGUUAUUGGCGUGGAAACUUUAGCAGGAGACCCUCUGAGCUCUAGGUUUUGUUACCAUUACAUUUUCUGAUGCGUUUUUUUUUUGCAAGGAUAUCUAUUUUGAAUUUGCGCGUCGAAAUAAGAUUGUUCGAGUAUUAAAAUCCUAAAUUUGUUUUUUUGGGAUUUGAUCACCUAACAUACAUGAUCACUGAAUUGUCAUUUGUUCCACCAUUUAUCUCAUCGAGCAUGCUGAAAGAUGACAUCUCCUUUUGAUGCUGUUUCCUUUUUGUUUUGAAGUUGUCUUAUUGUUUCUAUUCUUAGUCUUUUGAUUAGUGAAAUCUAUCAAAUCUAGCUGUUUGAUCUGUGAUUAUGUUCAUUCCUUUUCAGGUUAAAAAAUAAUUCUAAUGUUGAGGGGUAAUAUAAUUUUUUGGAUGAGUUUCCUUUCUGUCAUUUAAUAUCUUUGGACUGGAUCAUCAAAUAUAAGGAUUCAAUUGUGAUUUGUUUUCCGCAGCAAUGUUUGGUGGAUUUGUUUCGUGUAACAUUCCUCUCAUCGAGGAAAUCUUACAAGUGAAGACAUCUCCCUCUGAUUUUUCUACUUUGUAGUUUUCUUCAAUUUUUGGGCCUUACGGGGAAGACAACCAACUGAUAUGUGAGCUAGGAUGUGGAAGCCAGGGGAUCUGUGAUGCUUUAGGUUUUGUUACCCUUGCUUUUCUUAUGUCUUAAUCUUUGACUAGUUAAACUUAUGAUGCUUUAAUUUAAAGUCUUGUGUGAUUUAAUUUUGUAAAAGGGAAAGAGAAGAUAUGAGGGAAACAAAAUAUCAUGGCCAUUACAGUUUUGUCUCGAAGCUAUUUUUAAUUUAGACCUGCCGUUUCUCGAAGCUAUUUUUCUCAUCGCAAAAUUUAAUCCUCUUACUUUGCUUUCUUUUGUAUUUUCAUUUAUUGUUUAUGAAUAUCAGACUAUAACAAUAGUAAGUCACCUUAAUUGUCAGAUUUGCCUCUCUGAAUUGCUCAAUCGUAAUCCCUUGCUGUUUUUAAACAGCACUGUUUUGGAAUAGGAUUUGUUUGAGCGUGUUAUCAUCUACAUGAAGCUGGAACGUGAAACGGCAACUGCUCAAGAUAACCUUCUACGAGUUCGCCGGACUUGAUCAUCUAACAUUAGGAUUGUAUUCCUCUCUAUUAUUAUGUUUCUCUGCACUCGAUCACCGAACAUAAAGUUAUAAAUAAUUUGCGCCUAUUAACAUUUAUUUGUUUUUAUUUCUUUUACCCUUUUGGGAUCUUUUUUUUUGUACUACAGUGAUCCUCCUUUAAAUUGACAUAAAAUGGUGGUUGAAUAUAGAAAGAAAAACUCUUGCUAUGGAUAGGUCUGCAUCUUUGGAAGGUUAAAUUUCUUAUGCCGUAUUCCAAAUUCUAUUAAAAUUUCUCUCAAUGUUAAUUGAUUUAUCUUUA
rnacentral:lncRNA from 1 species